rnacentral:rRNA from 1 species
GUACACACCGCCCGUCACGUCAUGAAAGCCGGUUUCGCCCGAAGUGCGUUUGCCAACCAGCAAUGGAGGCGGCGCCCUAAGGUGAGGCUGGUGAUUGGGACGAAGUCGUAACAAGGUAGCCGUAGGUAACCUGCAGAAGGAUCA